GCUUAGUGGUCAGGAGUGGAGAUUAUUAUUUGUUUGAAACGGAUAGUGAAGAGGAGGAAGAGGAAGAAUUAAAAAAGGAAGAUGAAGAACUUCCAAGAAGGUCAGCUUUCCAGUUUGUUUACCAAGCCUGGAUCACUGACCCUAAAACAGCACUCCGACAGAGACGCAAAGAGAAAAAAAGGUCUGCAAGAGAAGAACAGAAGAGAAGGAGAAAAGGCUCUGGAGAGGGUCCUGUGGAGUGGGAAGACCGAGAGGAGGAACCAGUCAAAAAGAAAUCUGAUGGACCAGAUAAUAUCAUCAAGAGGAUAUUUAAUAUUUUGAAAUUCACCUGGGUUCUGUUUCUGGCAACAGUGGAUAGUUUCACAACUUGGCUUAACUCCAUUUCAAGGGAACAUAUUGAUAUAUCUACAG
rnacentral:lncRNA from 1 species